rnacentral:ncRNA from 1 species
AUUUGCUAGGGGUGCCCUCGGGCUGAGAGAUGUAUAUCGACCCUUAUUACUUGAUCCGGUUCGUACCGGCGUAAGGAAGCUGUCAU